rnacentral:rRNA from 1 species
CCCAAAACAUCUAGCCGCGCCACACCCCCAAGGGGUAUUCAGCAGUGAUUAAUAUUAAAAAUUAACGUCAGUUAGAUUUAGUUAAUGAAAGCAGGGCCGGCCAACCUGGUGCCAGCCGCCGCGGUUACACCAUGCGACCCAAAUUGACCCGGCGUAAAGCGUGAUUAGAGUGAGGUUAAACCUAGACUAAGCUGUAAAAUACUUGUCGCCAGUAAACCCCGACCCGAAAGAUACCUCACUCAAUUCCUUGAAUUCACGACAACUARGGCAUAAACUGGGAUUAGAUACCCCACUAUACCUAGUCAUAAACUUUAACUUACACCGCCCGGGAACUACGAGCAAAGCUUAAAACCCAAGGGACUUGACGGUACCCCGCAUCCCCCUAGAGGAGCCUGUCCUAUAAUCGAUGACCCCCGUUUAACCUCACCACUUUUAGCAACCUGUAUACUUCCGUCGCCAGCUUACCACAUGAGUGAGUAAGCUUAAUAACAAUACGUCAGGUCAAAGUGCAGUAAAUAAAGUGGGAAGAGAUGGGCUACACUUUCUAAUUUAGAAAACACGAAAGAUCCUAUGAAACAGAAGGCGGAUUUAGUAGUAAGGGUGGAGUAGAGUACCUUCCUUAAUUCGGCACCGGGGUGUGUACACACCG